rnacentral:rRNA from 1 species
GUGCUUAACACAUGCAAGUCGAACGAAGAGCGAGGGACUCUUGCUUCUAUCAAUCUUGAGUGGCGAACGGGUGAGUAACGCGUAAUCAACCUGCACCUUCAGAGGGGGACAACAGUUGGAAACGACUGCUAAUACCGCAUACGAUCUAACCUCGGCAUCGAGGAUAGAUGAAAGGAGGCCUCUACAUGUGAAGCUAUCACUGAAGGAGGGGAUUGCGUCUGAUUAGCUAGUUGGAGGGGUAACGGCCCACCAAGGCGAUGAUCAGGAACCCGGUCUGAGAGGAUGAACGGCCACCUUGGAGACUGACACACGGCCCAGACUCCUACGGUAGGCAACAGUGGGGAAUCUUCCGCAAUGGACGAAAGUCUGACGGAGCAACGCCUCGUGAGUGAUGACGGCCUUCGGGUUGAAAAGCUCUGUUAAUCGGGACAAAAGGACUUCUUGCGAAUAUAUAUAACGAUUGACGGUACCGGAAUAAAAAGCCACGGCUAACUACGAGCCACCGGCCGCGGUAAUACCUAAGUGGCAAACGUUGUCCGGAAUUAUUGGCUGUAGAGUGCGCGCAGGCACAUAGGCCAAUCUGUCUUAGAAGUACGGGGCUUAACCCCGUGAUGGGAUGGAAACUGCCAAUCUAGAGUAUCGAAAAGGAAAGUGGAAUUCCUAGUGUAGCGGUGAAAUGCGAAUAUAUUAGAAACAACACCACUGGCGAAUGCGACUUUCUGGACAAUAACUGACGCUGAGGCGCGAAAGCCAGAGGAGCGAACGGGAUUAUAUACCCCGGUAGUCCUGGCCGCAGACGAUGGGUACUAAGUGUACGAGGUAUCGAUCGGUUCUGCGCCGGAGUUAACGCAAUAUGUACCCCGGAUGGGGAGUACGCACCGCAAGGUUGAAAAUCAAAGGAAGUGGCGGGGCACAGCACAAGCGGCGGAGUAUGUGGUUUAAUUCGACGCGACGAGCAGAACCUUAACAGGUCUUGACAUUGAUGGGCAGAUCCAGAGUUGGUUCCUAUUUUUCUGAAGCCAGAAAACCGGUGGUGCCCGGUUGUUGUCAGCUUGUGUUGUGAGAUGGUGGGGUAAGUUCCGCAACGAGCGCCACCCCUAUUUUAUGUUGCCAGCCCGUAAAGGUGGGAAUUCAGGAGAGACUGCCGCAGUCAAUGCGGAGGAAGGGGGGGAGGAGGUCAAUUCUUCAUGCCCCUUAUGACAUGGGUUCCCCACGUAUUCCAAUGGGAGUUAAUAGAGGGAAGAGUGAUCGAGAGAGGGAGCAUAUCCGAGAAACACUCUCUCAGUUCGGAUUGUUGGGCGCAUCUCGCACACGAGAAGUGGGAAUCGAUUGUAAUCGCAGGUCAGCAUAGUGCGGAGAAUGCGUUCCCGGGCCUCGCACACCCCGCCCGUCACCCCGGGAAAGUCGGAAGUGCCCAAACCCGGUGGGGUAACCCUCGGGAGCCAGCCGUCUAAGGUAAAGUCGAUGAUUGGGGUG